rnacentral:rRNA from 1 species
UGGGGAAUAUUGGACAAUGGGCGAAAGCCUGAUCCAGCCAUGCCGCGUGUGUGAAGAAGGUCUUCGGAUUGUAAAGCACUUUAAGUUGGGAGGAAGGGCAUUAACCUAAUACGUUAGUGUUUUGACGUUACCGACAGAAUAAGCACUGGCUAACUCUGUGCCAGCAGCCGCGGUAAUACAGAGGGUGCAAGCGUUGAUCGGAAUUACUGGGCGUAAAGCGCGCGUAGGUGGUUUGUUAAGUUGGAUGUGAAAUCCCCGGGCUCAACCUGGGAACUGCAUUCAAAACUGACUGACUAGAGUAUGGUAGAGGGUGGUGGAAUUUCCUGUGUAGCGGUGAAAUGCGUAGAUAUAGGAAGGAACACCAGUGGCGAAGGCGACCACCUGGACUAAUACUGACACUGAGGUGCGAAAGCGUGGGGAGCAAACA